CAUAUAAGGGAAACACUGGCAUCCAUUUGUGAGAUUGGAAGGCACCCUUAUAGCUCGCUCUCGUUCCAGUGUAUUCAGUUUCUCCAUCCAUCACGCUACAUGUGCUACAGAGAGAAUAUUCCAUGGACCUCCAGAGCCUUCUGACCAACUACCUGCGAUCUCUCCAGAGCAGAGAAGCAAGCUCCUCUGGUGGCAAUGUUUUAUGCACUAUGUAAACUUCCUUCACUAUGGCUGUUUGUCUGUGUGAUGAAAUACACUCACCAGACAGUUUAUUAGGCACACCACCCCGUUCAGGUAAAUGGAUCGCUCCUACAGACAGUGAGUCAUGUGGCCAUGGCUUACUAUAUAAAGCAGGCAGACAGACAUUCAGUUACUGUUCGAUUGAACGUUAGAAUGGGCAAAACAUGGGACUUAAGUGACUUUGAGCAUGGUAUGAACGUCGGUGACAGGUUCGAGUGUCUCAGAAACGUCCGCCUCCCUGGGCUUGUCUAGGGUUUACUGAGAACGAUGUAAAAUACAAAAAAAAGGAGAAUGCGAAGAAUCGUGCAAGCUAACAGGCAGGCCACAAACAGACAUAACGGCACAGUACAACAGUGGUGUGCAGAACCGCAUCUCAGAACGCACAACUUAUUGAUCCUGCUGCUAUUGCAGCGUUCUGAGAUGCCGGGUUCCACUCCUAUCAGCUAAAAACAAGAAGAAGCGGCUCCAGAGGGUACGCAAUAUCCAACACUGGACAAUUGAGGAGCGGGAAAAACAUUGCCUGGAACAUGACAGCGAGUUCAGUUUACUUGAGUGGCCUGCACAGUCCCCAGACCUCAACGCAAUACAGCAUCUUUGGAAUGAGACGGAACAGGCUGUUCACGUCAGCAUGGACCAAUAUCCCUGUGGAAUGUUUCCAACAUAUUGUAGAAUACGCCGAAGAACUCAGGCUUUUCUGGAGGCAAAGCGAGGUACGACCCAGUGCUAGAUGGGUGUACAUAAUAAACUGUCCGGUGAGUAUAUACCAGAUGUGGCUAAAGAUUAGGACAAAUAGACAUGUGAAUAUAUACGGAACAAAAAUAUAAAACGCAAUAUGCAAGAUUUUACUGAGAUACAGUUCAUAGAAGGAAAUCAGUCAAUUAAUUUCGCGCUAUCCUAUGAAUUUCAUAUGACUGGGCAGGGGUGCAGCAAUGGGUGGGCAUAGGCCCAACCAUCAGCCAAUCCAAAUGAGUUUUCCCUACUAAAGUGCUUUAUUACAGACAGAAAUACUACUCAGCACCCCCUACCAGGCAAACCGUCGACCCCCAUAAUACCUUAGCAAAAAAACUAUUAAAGUCUUGUCGUCUCAUCAGUGGAAUGAUAACGGCAAGAAGAAGCAAUCAACAUUUUAAAAUUAAUUGGUAAAUAGUUUCUCAUUAUGUUGACCUCCCCACAUUAUAAAUGAGAAGAACUGUGAACUCUUACAUAACCUAGUAGCUAGAAAGGUAACUCAAAACACAUUUUCGCCAAGAAGCUGUUUAGCUGAUUAAACAAAUGUUAGCCAUGUGUUGGCAAACAUUUAUGUCCAAGUCAAGAAAGAUUACUGGUAGCCAGCGGCACUUGCCACACUGGUAGCCAAUUCGCGGGUGCUUUUUCAAAGCCUAUGUCAGACACUCCAGUGAGUGUAAUACCAAAGACAGUAGCAACUCUAAUUUGCUCAAUAUUAUUUGAGAAAUAAAAGCGGACUCCGUGCAGUACCUUCGUCGACCCAUGGCUGAAUACCCCUGGCCUAGGCAACUAGUCAUUGUCGUCACGCGAUGGACCAGGCAUUCAUCAGAAAGCGAUCCAAACGAAAUACGGAUAAGAAUCCCAUUAUGAUGGAAUGGAAAUAUAUUCACCUCCCAGCGUAAUUCGGAGGGCACAGCACACCCGUAUGGACGCCGCCAUCUUGAUGUUGUGAAAGGUCCUGAAUAGCAUAACAGAACCUGAGCCCUAGGACCAUACGUCACGGCAAACCGGGCAUGAUGACUCCGUGCUGUCCCCAGUCUACCUGGCCUUGCUGCUGUUACAGUUUCAACUGCUCUGCCUGCGGUUAUGGAACCCCUACCUGUCCCAGACCUGCUGCUUUCAACUCUUAAUGACUGACUUUUAUUCCUGAUUAUUAUUUGACCAUGCUUGUCAUUUAUGAACAUUUUGAAAAUCUUGGCUCUCUCUAAUUUUCUCCUUCUCUCUUUCUUUCUCUCUCUCGGAGGACCUGAGCCCUAGGACCAUACGUCAGGGCUGCCGGGCAUGAUGGCUCCUUGCUGUCCCCAGUCCACCUGGCCUUGCUGCUAUUCCAAUUUCAACUGUUCUGACUGCGGUUAUGGAAACGCCACCUGUCCCAGACCUGCUGUUUUCAACUCUUAAUGAUCGGCUAUGAAAAGCCAACUGAAAAUUAUUCAUGAUUAUUAUUUGACCAUGCUUGUCACUUAUGAACAUUUUGAACAUCUUGGCAUAGUUCUGUUAUAAUCUCCACCCGGCACAGCCAGAAGAGGACUGGCCACCCCUCAUAGCCUGGUUCCUCUCUAGGUUUCUUCCUAGGUUUUGGCCUUUCUAGGGAGUUUUUCCUAGCCACCGUGCUUCUACACCUGCAUUGCUUGCUGUUUGGGGUUUUAGGCUGGGUUUCUGUACAGCACUUCGAGAUAUUAGCUGAUGUACGAAGGGAUAUAUAAAAUAAACUUGAUUGAUUGAUUGAUUGUAUAGCUCCAUCUAUUACAUUUGGAGGGGGAGUCAACACUCAACAUGUAUCUAACUUUAACAUGGAUCAAAUGUAUUUAUUUUAAUAAAUUAGGGCACAUAGAAAUUAACAGUUGAUUGUAGUUCAAUCCAAUUUUCAAUGCUAUUUGUGAUACAAUUUGCUGAUUUCCCAUGGCCCCCCAUGACUGACUUCUACAGAUGCACAAUCGAGAGCAUCCUGUCGGGCUGUAUCACCGCCUGGUACGGCAACUGCUCCGCCCACAACCGUAAGGCUCUCCAGAGGGUAGUGAGGUCUGCACAACGCAUCCCCGGGGGCAAACUACCUGCCCUCCAGGACACCUACACCACCCAAUGUCACAGGAAGGCCAUAAAGAUCAUCAAGGACAACAACCACCCAAGCCACUGCCUGUUCACCCCGCUAUCAUCUAGAAGGCGAGGUCAGUACAGGUGCAUCAAAGCAGGGACCGAGAGACUGAAAAACAGCUUCUAUCUCAAGGCCAUCAGACUGUUAAACAGCCACCACUAACAUUUAGCGGCCGCUGCCAACAUACUGACUCAACUCCAGCCACUUUAAUAAUGGAAAUUAUGUAAAAAUGUACCACUAGCCACUUUAAACAAUGUCACUUAAUAUAAUGUUUACAUACCCUACAUUACUCAUCUCAUAUGUAUAUGUAUAUACUGUACUCUAUACCAUCUACUGCAUCUUGCCUAUGCCGUUCUGUACCAUCACUCAUUCAUAUAUCUUUAUGUACAUAUUCUUUAUCCCUUUACACUUGUGUGUAUAAGGUAGUAGUUGUGGAAUUGUUAGGUUAGAUUACUUGUUGUUAUUACUGCAUUGUCGGAACUAGAAGCACAAGCAUUUCGCUACACUCGCAUUAACAUCUGCUAACCAUGUGUAUGUGACAAAUCAAAUUUGAUUUGAUUUGACUGGUUUUUGGUCCCCCAUUGGCACCCCCUCAGAAAAUUCCUAGAACCGCCCCUGCCCGUAAGUCAAAACGGGGAGACAGUUUUAGGCCUAUUAACUGCAUUUCAAAGUAGUGUGUACAGUUUCAGCAUAAACAACAUGCAUAAACAACAAGUAAAUAAGAUAUGUUAUUACAACAGAGCACGCACUCAUAGACACACUGAGUGUUGAUGUAUAUAGCAGAGCAGAAAAUGCCAUAGAGAAGCCAGAUUUAGACCAAAUAAUUUAACAGUUCCAUUUCACAUCACGCUAUACAUAAAAAUAAUUUAUCAUAA